UACGUAGGGGGCAAGCGUUGUCCGGAUUUAUUGGGCGUAAAGAGCGUGUAGGCGGCCAGGUAGGUCUGUUGUGAAAACUGGAGGCUUAACCUCCAGCUGUCGAUGGAAACCAUCUGGCUAGAGUCCGGAAGAGGAGAGUGGAAUUCCUGGUGUAGCGGUGAAAUGCGCAGAUAUCAGGAGGAACACCUGCGGUGUAGACGGCUUUCUGGACCAUUGCUGACGCUGAGACACGAAAGCGUGGGUAGCAAACAGG
rnacentral:rRNA from 1 species